AGUGAACGCUGGCGGUAGGCCUAACACAUGCAAGUCGAACGGCAGCACCGUAAGAGCUUGCUCUUACGGGCGGCGAGUGGCGGACGGGUGCGGAAUACUCCGGAAUAUACUUUUUCGUGGGGGAUAACGUCGGGAAAUUUACGCUAAUACCGCAUACGACCUACGGGUGAAAGCAGGGGUUCUUCGGACCUUGUGCGAUUGAAUGAGCCGAUGUCGGAUGAGCUAGUUAGCGGGGUAAAGGCACACCAAGGCGACGAUGCGUAGCUGGUAUGAGAGGAUGAUCAGCCAGACUGGAAGUGAGACACGUUCCACACUCCGACGGGGAGCAGCAGUCGAGAAUAUUGCGCGAUGGAGGCGAGCCGAAUCCAGCCAUACCGCGGGAAGGAUGAAGCCCUUCGGGUUGGAGAGCCCUGUUGUUGUUAAAGAAGAACAGCAGUUUAAUACCCCACUGUUCUGACGGUACCCAAAGAAUAAGCACCGGCUAACUUCGUG
rnacentral:rRNA from 1 species